AGUGAACGCUGGCGGCAGGCCUAACACAUGCAAGUCGAACGAACACACAGGGAGCUUUCGCCUCUGCGGGUGGCGGCUGACGGACGGGUAACGCAUGGAUAGCCUACCUCUAUGACUGGGGUGAUAACGUGAAAACAGAGCUACUACCGCAGAAUAUAUCGAACCGCGUGAUGCAAGAGCUCAAGACGCUUUUUCUGUCACUUAUAGCUGGAUCCGGGCCGGAUUAUCUAGUUGGUAAGGGAACGGCAUACCAAGGCUACGAUGCGUAGCCGACCUGAGAGGGUGAUCGGCCACACUGGAACUGAGACACGGUCCAGACUCCUACGGGAGGCAGCAGUAGGGAAUCUUACGCAAUGGGCGAAAGCCUGAUGCAGCAAUGCCGCGUGAGUGAUGAAGGUCUUCGGAUUGUAAAACUCUGUUGUUAGGGAAGAAAAAAAGUGUAUGUAACUAUGGCCGUAUUGACGGUACCUAAAGAAAAAGCCCCGGCUAACUACGUG
rnacentral:rRNA from 1 species